CGGAGGAAAAGAAACCAACCGGGAUUGCCUCAGUAACGGCGAGUGAAGCGGCAAGAGCUCAAAUUUGAAAUCUGGCCCCUCCGGGGUCCGAGUUGUAAUUUGCAGAGGAUGCUUCGGGUGCGGCCCCUGUCUAAGUGCCCUGGAACGGGCCGUCAGAGAGGGUGAGAAUCCCGUCUUGGGCAGGGUGCCCGUGCCCGUGUGAAGCUCCUUCGACGAGUCGAGUUGUUUGGGAAUGCAGCUCAAAAUGGGUGGUAAAUUUCAUCUAAAGCUAAAUACCGGCCGGAGACCGAUAGCGCACAAGUAGAGUGAUCGAAAGAUGAAAAGCACUUUGAAAAGAGAGUUAAACAGCACGUGAAAUUGUUGAAAGGGAAGCGCUUGCAACCAGACUCGGCCUCGGGGUUCAGCCAGCAUUCGUGCUGGUGUACUUCCCCGGGGCCGGGCCAGCGUCGGUUUGGGCGGCCGGUCAAAGGCCCCAGGAAUGUAUCGUCCUCCGGGACGUCUUAUAGCCUGGGGUGCAAUGCGGCCAGCCUGGACCGAGGAACGCGC
rnacentral:rRNA from 1 species